AAGAAGUGACUGGAGUUUUUGAUGGAUGUGCAGACACUGUGUACUGAUUGCCAUGUUCUGAUUUA
ensembl:snoRNA